rnacentral:rRNA from 1 species
AUUGAACGCUGGCGGCAGGCUUAACACAUGCAAGUCGAGCGGGGUGAUGGUGCUUGCACUAUCACUUAGCGGCGGACGGGUGAGUAAUGCUUAGGAAUCUGCCUAUUAGUGGGGGACAACAUCUCGAAAGGGAUGCUAAUACCGCAUACGUCCUACGGGAGAAAGCAGGGGAUCACUUGUGACCUUGCGCUAAUAGAUGAGCCUAAGUCGGAUUAGCUAGUUGGUGGCGUAAAGGCCUACCAAGGCGACGAUCUGUAGCGGGUCUGAGAGGAUGAUCCGCCACACUGGGACUGAGACACGGCCCAGACUCCUACGGGAGGCAGCAGUGGGGAAUAUUGGACAAUGGGGGGAACCCUGAUCCAGCCAUGCCGCGUGUAUGAAGAAGGCCUUAUGGUUGUAAAGCACUUUAAGCGAGGAGGAGGCUCUUUUGGUUAAUACCCAAGAUGAGUGGACGUUACUCGCAGAAUAAGCACCGGCUAACUCUGUGCCAGCCGCCGCGGUAA